UACGAGGGGGGCAAGUGUUGUUCGGAAUCACUGGGCGUAAAGGGAGCGUAGGCGGAUGUUUAAGUCGGGUGUUUAAAACCGGGGCCCAACCCCGGAGCGGCACCCGAAACUGGGCAUCUUGAAUAGGUCAGAGGCUGGUGGAAUUGGAGGUGUAGCGGUGGAAUGCGUAGAGAUCUCCAAGAACACCUAUUGCGAAGGCAGCCAGCUGGGACCAUAUUGACGCUGAGGCUCGAAAGCAUGGGGAGCAAACAGGAUUAGAUACCCUGGUAGUCCAUGCCGUAAACGAUGAACACUAGGUUUUGGGCUCGUCAACGGUCCAGAGCCGCAGCUAACGCGUUAAGUGUUCCGCCUGGGGAAUACGGUCGCAAGACUGAA
rnacentral:rRNA from 1 species